AUAGGGUCAAGUGAAUAAGUGCAUCCGGCGGAUGCCUUGGCGAUGAUAGGCGACGAAGGACGUGUAAGCCUGCGAAAAGCGCGGGGGAGCUGGCAAUAAAGCUAUGAUUCCGCGAUGUCCGAAUGGGGAAACCCACUGCAUUCUGUGCAGUAUCCUAAGUUGAAUACAUAGGCUUAGAGAAGCGAACCCGGAGAACUGAACCAUCUAAGUACCCGGAGGAAAAGAAAUCAACCGAGAUUCCGCAAGUAGUGGCGAGCGAACGCGGAGGAGCCUGUACGUAAUAACUGUCGAGAUAGAAGAACAAGCUGGGAAGCUUGACCAUAGCGGGUGACAGUCCCGUAUUCGAAAUCUCAACAGCGGUACUAAGCGUACGAAAAGUAGGGCGGGACACGUGAAAUCCUGUCUGAAUAUGGGGGGACCAUCCUCCAAGGCUAAAUACUCAUCAUCGACCGAUAGUGAACCAGUACCGUGAGGGAAAGGCGAAAAGAACCCCGGGAGGGGAGUGAAACAGAACCUGAAACCUGAUGCAUACAAACAGUGGGAGCGCCCUAGUGGUGUGACUGCGUACCUUUUGUAUAAUGGGUCAACGACUUACAUUCAGUAGCGAGCUUAACCGGAUAGGGGAGGCGUAGGGAAACCGAGUCUUAAUAGGGCGAUGAGUUGCUGGGUGUAGACCCGAAACCGAGUGAUCUAUCCAUGGCCAGGUUGAAGGUGCCGUAACAGGUACUGGAGGACCGAACCCACGCAUGUUGCAAAAUGCGGGGAUGAGCUGUGGGUAGGGGUGAAAGGCUAAACAAACUCGGAGAUAGCUGGUUCUCCCCGAAAACUAUUUAGGUAGUGCCUCGAGCAAGACACUGAUGGGGGUAAAGCACUGUUAUGGCUAGGGGGUUAUUGCAACUUACCAACCCAUGGCAAACUCAGAAUACCAUCAAGUGGUUCCUCGGGAGACAGACAGCGGGUGCUAACGUCCGUUGUCAAGAGGGAAACAACCCAGACCGCCGGCUAAGGUCCCAAAUGAUAGAUUAAGUGGUAAACGAAGUGGGAAGGCACAGACAGCCAGGAUGUUGGCUUAGAAGCAGCCAUCAUUUAAAGAAAGCGUAAUAGCUCACUGGUCGAGUCGUCCUGCGCGGAAGAUGUAACGGGGCUCAAAUCUAUAACCGAAGCUGCGGAUGCCGGUUUACCGGCAUGGUAGGGGAGCGUUCUGUAGGCUGAUGAAGGUGCAUUGUAAAGUGUGCUGGAGGUAUCAGAAGUGCGAAUGUUGACAUGAGUAGCGAUAAAGCGGGUGAAAAGCCCGCUCGCCGAAAGCCCAAGGUUUCCUACGCAACGUUCAUCGGCGUAGGGUGAGUCGGCCCCUAAGGCGAGGCAGAAAUGCGUAGUCGAUGGGAAACAGGUUAAUAUUCCUGUACUUGAUUCAAAUGCGAUGUGGGGACGGAGAAGGUUAGGUUGGCAAGCUGUUGGAAUAGCUUGUUUAAGCCGGUAGGUGGAAGACUUAGGCAAAUCCGGGUUUUCUUAACACCGAGAAGUGAUGACGAGUGUCUACGGACACGAAGCAACCGAUACCACGCUUCCAGGAAAAGCCACUAAGCUUCAGUUUGAAUCGAACCGUACCGCAAACCGACACAGGUGGGCAGGAUGAGAAUUCUGAGGCGCUUGAGAGAACUCGGGAGAAGGAACUCGGCAAAUUGAUACCGUAACUUCGGGAGAAGGUAUGCCCUCUAAGGUUAAGGACUUGCUCCGUAAGCCCCGGAGGGUCGCAGAGAAUAGGUGGCUGCGACUGUUUAUUAAAAACACAGCACUCUGCCAACACGAAAGUGGACGUAUAGGGUGUGACGCCUGCCCGGUGCCGGAAGGUUAAUUGAAGAUGUGCAAGCAUCGGAUCGAAGCCCCGGUAAACGGCGGCCGUAACUAUAACGGUCCUAAGGUAGCGAAAUUCCUUGUCGGGUAAGUUCCGACCCGCACGAAUGGCGUAACGAUGGCCACACUGUCUCCUCCCGAGACUCAGCGAAGUUGAAGUGGUUGUGAAGAUGCAAUCUACCCGCUGCUAGACGGAAAGACCCCGUGAACCUUUACUGUAGCUUUGCAUUGGACUUUGAAGUCACUUGUGUAGGAUAGGUGGGAGGCUUGGAAGCAGAGACGCCAGUCUCUGUGGAGUCGUCCUUGAAAUACCACCCUGGUGUCUUUGAGGUUCUAACCCAGACCCGUCAUCCGGGUCGGGGACCGUGCAUGGUAGGCAGUUUGACUGGGGCGGUCUCCUCCCAAAGCGUAACGGAGGAGUUCGAAGGUUACCUAGGUCCGGUCGGAAAUCGGACUGAUAGUGCAAUGGCAAAAGGUAGCUUAACUGCGAGACCGACAAGUCGGGCAGGUGCGAAAGCAGGACAUAGUGAUCCGGUGGUUCUGUAUGGAAGGGCCAUCGCUCAACGGAUAAAAGGUACUCCGGGGAUAACAGGCUGAUUCCGCCCAAGAGUUCAUAUCGACGGCGGAGUUUGGCACCUCGAUGUCGGCUCAUCACAUCCUGGGGCUGUAGUCGGUCCCAAGGGUAUGGCUGUUCGCCAUUUAAAGUGGUACGUGAGCUGGGUUUAAAACGUCGUGAGACAGUUUGGUCCCUAUCUGCAGUGGGCGUUGGAAGUUUGACGGGGGCUGCUCCUAGUACGAGAGGACCGGAGUGGACGAACCUCUGGUGUACCGGUUGUAACGCCAGUUGCAUAGCCGGGUAGCUAAGUUCGGAAGAGAUAAGCGCUGAAAGCAUCUAAGCGCGAAACUCGCCUGAAGAUGAGACUUCCCUUGCGGUUUAACCGCACUAAAGGGUCGUUCGAGACCAGGACGUUGAUAGGUGGGGUGUGGAAGCGCGGUAACGCGUGAAGCUAACCCAUACUAAUUGCCCGUGAGGCUUGACUCUAU
rnacentral:rRNA from 1 species